ensembl:lncRNA
CAGGGGCAGGGAGCUGCCGUUCCAUGGCCCAGCGCCGCAGUUUGCAAGAUAAUGCAGCACUGCGGAUGGAAGGGCAUGGCGGGGCUACCUGCGCUCAAGACCGUGACCUGGAUGCCUGCAGAUAGUCAGAAGGGCAAACCUUGUGUCCUGUGUACUCUGCCCCAAGGGCAUGUGAUGAUACAGGGUCCAAACACUGGGGUGGUGGUGGGAAGGUUCCUGUCACCUCUGUUGCUGAUUCGUGUGAAAUGGAUCAAGCUUCCCAGGUGGCUCAGUGGUAAAGAACCUGCCUGCUAAUGCAGAAGCCGCAAGAGUUGCAGGUUUGAUCCCUGGGUCGGGAAGAUCCCCUGCAGGUGGAAAUGGCAACCCACUCCAGUAUUCUUGCCUGGAAAAUUCCAUGGACAGAGAAGCCUGGCAGGCUACAGUCCAUGCGGCUGCAAAGAGUCAGACACGACUGAGUGACUGAGCACAGACACGCUGAAAUGGGCCAACAUUUGGAAUAAGUGCAUAACUCAGGGAAUUAAUAUUUUCCAAAUGACUAAAUGGCCACGUUACAAAAUCAUGUGUGAGAAACAGAUCCAUCCAACCAGCCAGAGAGACCAGUGUGGUCUGGUCUAACACUAGGAAAGGUUCAUUGCUAUGGUGCUGUAGUCCACGUGGCAACGAACCUGAGAGAAAUGUCCUCAUACCAGAUGGAGAGUCUGUGUAAACUCUCCUCCAUUAUCCUGCUACACAUCUCCGCAAGGCCAAACUUUCCUCACAGACAUCAACUGAAGCGACACAUUACAACAGUCUGAAGACAGAAGCAGACAUGAGAAUCCAGCUGUCUUCUGUUAAGCUAGACGUUAAAGAGAUUUGCAGAAUAUGAAGCAUGUCACUGUUCUCACUAAUCAUGCUUUUUCAAGUAAUGAUUUUUCAUAGAAUGCUAUUUAUCAUUGAAUAACAGGGAAUCAGUUUCUUAUUGUAAGGUUAAAUAAAUUAAUAAAAUGAGUUUAAAGUAGUUUUGAUUUAUAAUACUGUAUGUUUUCACGAACCUCAAAUCCAGCUGUAAAGUAUGACAGGGCAGGCUCUGGCCGGGAGAGUUCAGGGUGAUAUAAAGUCAUUCAUUCCAACCCCUCUGGGAAAUUUAACUUUAAAGUUCCCAAUUCCUCAUUUUAAGAAUUUCUUUUUAUGAUAUAUAUAUAUAUAUAUAUAUAUAUAUAUAGCCUUUUAAGUAUUUCAGAAGGUAGGAGGGGAGGGAAAGACAGCAAAAGAAAUUUGAAAG